AGACACUCAAACAGCCUGUGGAGAUGCUCAUGUAUGGAGGAAACAAGACUUACAAUGAGAACCAGCCUAAAUGAAGAAAAGGCAUUUGGAAGGAGGAGUGAAGCAGUAAAUGCAAUGAUUAAAUAUGAAGAAGAGCAUUGACAAGAUGAAAUGGACUCAUCCUCAGCAAUGUUAUUUCACAAAGAAAACCUGAGUGAUUCACAUAUUCAUAUGUCCAUCUGAAAAUAUCAUUCUCUCAACAAGCUACUCAAUGAAAACUCAUCUUCAUAUAGCUAAUGCUGGAGAGCUAAUAAACUGUUGUAAAUUUCAAAAAAAAAUAGGGUCAUAGGUUCCUAUACAGAGUCUAAAGAAGGUGGAGAUGUGAUGUAGUCUAGAGUUACCAAUAGGGCAGCAUGACUUGAUGGGGCUUAAGACUUCUACACACAGCCAGCAAGCAUUUAAUGAGCAUCCUUGAGGGGCUUAAUGUUGCAUACUAUUACUCAAGGACUUUUUCUUAUUUGCCAAGAUUACUUGGUAAAUCUAUAAAGCCAAGUGGCCUAUGGCCAGAGUUCAAAUACUUUCUAGUCAAUUCUUCCCCUCCUCUCACAGUUGCAAGGCAUGAAAAAGAGGAAAUGAGAUGAGAUGGGAUGGCUUUCGUCCUGGCCUACUUCAAGCACUGUUUCACCAUAAAAAUGGAACUCUCCACUGCUCCUCUUAAACAGAUAAAAUAUUUUCUUCUUGGAAUUCAAUGACUCAUCCCACUUGGACAUAACUACAUUCUUUCUAGGGCGGAAAUCUUGAAUUCAAGUGCAGCUGGCCAAGUUGAAGAAAGAACUUCAAGGCAGUUCUGGGAAAGAACUUAAAGCCUUAGCCUUGAUUAUGAGAAAGAAGUUUUGCUCUUUGCAAAGGAUUAGGAGCAUAACUGUGCUAGUGAAUAACACUCUCGGACUUAGCCAAAGAGUGCUUGGGUGGGAUUUUGAUUGCCAUUAUGUUUUUUGUUUUUUAAAAGCUAAGCAUCUAAGUCUUCAAAUUCUUGGAUAAAUUUAAUUUUAAUAUUUAAUUUUGGGCAAUCAAAACACAAAGAAGUAGAAACUGGAGUGAAAAUGGGGUGGGUUAAUAGAUACUUAAAAUAAUAAAAGUGUCAUUUUGCUAACUUCUUUUGUAGCUAAAAUUACAAUUUUCAAUGCUAUAUGUAAUUGAAGAUAGCCAUCAUCUGUGAGUGCUUAUUAUAUGCCAGGAACUAAGCUAAGCACUUAACCUGCAAAAUUUCAUUCAAUCCUUGCAUAGACCCUAUGUGAUAGAUGGACUACAAUUGCCACACUGAAUCAACAUUUGCCUGAUAGACCAAUGGGCAUUUAUUUAACACUAUUUAGGGAUUAACGUGAAGCGGUGGCAAAAAAGGAAAGGUAUAGCAUUUAGAGGAAUACAUUAUUUCACAGAAUCUUAGUGAGGGAAGGGAUGUUGAAGGACUAAGGCUGAGGCCAACUCUGUUGGGCAAGUAAUCAUCUCUUCUAGCUUUUAUAAAUUAUGAAAAUAUAUUUUGAUUUCAGCUUUUCUGAUCUGUUUCUAUUGUCUCUUAAGUCCUUUAGAAUCACUUCAUACUAUGCUGUCAUCCAGGUGAAAGGGAACUCAGAAAGAAUGUAAUUAGCCUCAUUUUCUAGCCAAAAACCUUGUGCAGUGGACCUAGAGGCUCUCAAACACCUGCUAAGGUUUUAGGGCCCAUGAGCUGCAUUUCAGUAGGUAACCAAGGCAUUCUUUUGUGUAUAUGUUGCCAAAAUCCCUUAAGAGCACCUAUAGAUCUUGACAAUUUUCAGUACAAAUCCUUUUCAAGUGAAAAAUAAACAAGUAUUUAAUACUUAAAAAUCUUUCUUUCUGUUUCAGAUAGAAUUCCAGGUGUCUGCUUCUUCCCUCCCUCCAACAAAAACAAAACAAGGGACUUGCAUCCAUUUACAGUCUAUGAAGUUUAAUCUUCAUGCUAUCUUACAGGAGGAGUUCUUCUUGCUGUGUUUCUGAUAUUGGCAAGCUGUUCCAUUUUCUGCAUACUCUCUGGUGUCCCUUAAUGCUAUACCAUAGUCAUUGCAACUCUGAAUUCAAGCCUAUAUUAGUUAUUUUUAAAUUGCUGUUGCUUACUAAUUUUAGGUUCAUUUUCAGUCCUACCCUUUUCCUACCAAUCUACCAUGUUGCCGCCAUUGCCUUUACAAAACACACCGCAAGUCUUAUCUGUAUUAAACCUCCUUAAAACUGGUGAUAAGCCCUCACUCUUCCUCAAGGCCUACAGGAUAAAAUACCAACUCCUCAGUGCUGGGGUUUGGAGCAGAACUUAAUUACUCACUUUUCUUCUUUUGCACAUUGUGGAUCAAUUGUGAAUUGGACACACAAGUCAGAUGGGAAUGAAAAUGCAGUGCCCGAUUCACUGCUGAGAAUGCAGCACUGGGGCUAGGGCCAGAGGCAGGCUAAAACGAGGCCAUGGUAAUCUUUCCCCUGAGUUUACCUAAGUUCAGGAAGAGCUGCCGGGGAGCAGUAUCACAUUUUCUUUUGGUGCAGGUUUGGGGGUCUGGAGAUUGCUUUAGAGGUUGAACAAUCUAUAACAAGCCUGUCUGCAGGGUUUGACGAGUCUCUAGAAAUAACCUUUAGAAUCUCAGAGGGAGGCCAGACUAUUCGAUAUUCGGAAAUUCAACAGGCUAGUCAAUUAGACUGGGGAUCUACCAUGGCAUGUUCUUUAAAUCCAAGCUGGUUUUGGAGUUUCUGUCUCUGAAUAAUGUCUUUACCUUAUUGCCUCUUGGUCGCUGCACUUAGAACCAUGGGCUGGCAUAAUGAGAGGGGCUGUCUCUUUAAAAUGAGCCUGUCUUUUAAGGUGGGGAGUACAUAGCCAGAAGUUUUUGGUAAGGGCCUAGGAAAUUGGGAUUCCCCCAGUGCUCCUGCUGUUCCUGCAGGAAAUUGAUCUCCUUUCAAAACAGAAAACCCAUACUUUGUGUCUUCUCAAGGAUUGCUGGAGGGAGAAAUGAUCUCUUUGGUGAGGCUACGUAGGCCCUUCCCUUUCUGCUGUAGAGGGACAGCUUGGUCUGAAGCUUCUAGCAUAAUAAAGGCUGCAAAAUACGGUCAGCCCAUUUUAACUUUGUCAAAAGAUAUCUGCAGACACACGGAAAUGAAUUAGUUGAGUCCCAGGAACAACAAGGAAAAACCUUCCCUGCUGCUUUGCUACCACUUAACAGGCACCACUAACAUCCCAGUGUUGACUGCCCAGGGUCUCACCUGUUGUCAGGCUUUCUUUUCAUUUUAAUGCCUGUUAAUUCCAGCACCCCACUUCCAGAUACCCAUCUCUGCAUUUGGCAGGAUUGUUUUGGGUGCAAAUGAGAGAAACUCAGCUCAAGCUAGAUUAUGGCUGGAAAUACGAAAGUCUAAGGGGUAUCUCUGGCAUCAGGCUUGGCUGCAUCUAGGGGUUUAAACUACAUUAUGAAGACUUUCUCUAUCCAUAUCUUGGCUCUUCCCUCCGGUGGUCUGUAGCUUCAGAAAGUCUCUAUUUUUAUAACUCUUUCUGGUACCAGAGAAAGAAAGACCCUUCUUUUCCCAGAAAUCUUAUGUCAAAAAUGAUGAAGAAGGUCUGAUUGGCACUCAAUUUGGGGCUAAUCUCCCUGAUCACUUGCAGUGGCCAGAGGGAUGAGUUACUCUGAACAGCCAGGUCUGAGACAUAUGUCAUAUGCUUAUCUACCUCUGGAGCCUAGAGGCAAAGGUGGAAGGAGGUUGGGCUUUUCUGAAGGAAGAGAGUGGAGCAGACAAGAAACAUAUGUUCACUAUACAGACUCCGUCACACUGUACUGUAAUUGUGUGUUUAUGUGUCUGAUUUAGUUUCCACAUCAGACUCAGAGCUGCUACAUGGUGAAGAUCACAAUUUGUCACACUCAGAAAGUCAGAUGGACAUGGCUAAGUCUGGAUUUCGUUCC
rnacentral:lncRNA from 1 species